rnacentral:rRNA from 1 species
UAUCUCUGUAGAGUCUGCAUAUCAAUAAGCGGAGGAAAAGAAACUAACAAGGAUUCCCUUAGUAACGGCGAGUGAAGCGGGAAGAGCUCAAAUUUGAAAUCUUCAAGGUUUUACCUCGACGAAUUGUAGUUUAAAGAAGUGUUUUCUGUUGAGGUUUCGGUAAAAGUUCUUUGGAAUAGGACAUCAUAGAGGGUGAGAAUCCCGUAUUUGACCAUUAUUUCCAGCUUUGUGAUACACUUUCAAAGAGUCGGAUUGUUUGGGAAUGCAGUCCAAAAUGGGUGGUAAAUUUCAUCUAAAGCUAAAUAUUGGCGAGAGACCGAUAGCGAACAAGUACCGUGAGGGAAAGAUGAAAAGAACUUUGAAAAGAGAGUUAAACAGUACGUGAAAUUGUCAAAAGGGAAGCGUUUGACACCAGUGUUGUUUCUACGAAAAUCAAUUUAUGAUGGCUUGAUGCUAAGCUUUAAGACUUUAUCCGCUUGUUGUUUAGUUUUCUUGUCUUUGUGAAUGCACUUUUCGUGGAACAAGUCAACAUCAAUUUCUUUUGCUGUAAAAGGGUAAGAGGAAGGUGGCUUCGGCUUCGGUUGAAGUGUUUAUAGCCUUUUAUCUCUGCAAGUCGGAGAGAUUGAGGUCUGCAGCGUAGACUCCUUCGGGGUUAGAUACAGUCGGUGCUAAGUUAUAGCCUUUUCAUAGACAACUUGUUGACUAUGAUUCAGUCAUGUAGGCUUACCUCGCUUAGGGCUAUUUUACCUACGCUUAGGAUGUUGAGUCAUCACACAUCUCU